GUGAGGAAUAUUGGUCAAUGGGCGGAAGCCUGAACCAGCCAUCCCGCGUGGAGGAAGACGGCCCUAUGGGUUGUAAACUUCUUUUCAAGGGGAAGAAAGUUCGCGACGUGUCGCGAUUUGCCGGUACCUUUGGAAUAAGCAUCGGCUAACUCCGUGCCAGCAGCCGCGGUAAUACGGAGGAUGCGAGCGUUAUCCGGAUUUAUUGGGUUUAAAGGGUGCGUAGGCCGAUCGAUAAGUCAGCGGUGAAAUACCAUGGCCCAACCAUGGAACUGCCGUUGAUACUGUCGGUCUUGAAUAUGGUCAAGGUAGGCGGAAUGUGUAAUGUAGCGGUGAAAUGCUUAGAUAUUACACAGAACACCGAUUGCGAAGGCAGCUUACUGGUCCAUUAUUGACGCUGAGGCACGAAAGCGUGGGGAUCGAACAGGAUUAGAUACCCUGGUAGUCC
rnacentral:rRNA from 1 species